CAAAGCCUUUGAAUCCCAGUGUUGAGGUGGAAGCAAGCGAUGAGGGCUGUGUUCAUCCUAUCCUUCUCUCCUUCUUUACUUUGUUUGUUUGUUGUUGUUGUUGUUGUUUUGUAAGGUUCAUCACAGAAGUCUUCUGAAAAUUGAGUUGAGAGGAAAUGCCUGCAGUCAGCUGCCCUGGAAGGAGGCCACAAGAUGGGGAUUUUUCUGGGAGUAACUUGCCACUUGCCUCCAGCACAACUGGUUAGCUCUUUCCCGCUGAGACUCCACUACAUAAACGGAAGGCUGAAAUUACACGCCAUCCUACUGCCAGUCCAUUGGCCAGAAUUUUCACGUGGCCCCAUCUAACUGCAAGGAGGGCUGGGAAAUGCAGGGAAGCACACGGAUACCCGGCUGUCCUUUGUCAUCUCAAGGCUCCUUUCAAGUCAAAAUAGACACAUGGUUCAGCCUCCAGGGAGGAACCCUGAACACAGGUUCUUUGUGUUGCUAAUUACUGGCCAUUCAUGCCGUCCUGGCCUCAGACACUGCAGAAUAAAGAGCGGUACCAUCUCCCACGAUGCGGUCAUCACUAAAAUCACUUGGGGUCCUCGUCUGAUUUCCUUCAGGCAUUUCUGUCUGUGCUUUUAGGAUCCCCAACCUUCAUUGGUGGGGAUGGCGUUUGAGUCUAGGAAAUAGUGGAAAUCUUAUCAAGUUAAGUCUGGUGGAUGAGUCGCUAGUCAAGCCGGGAGAUUCCAGUUUUAACAGGACAUUAACAGGACAUGUACUGGGCGUGUUCGCUGUGCCAGGCUCUCACUGAGGGCUGGGAAAGCAGAGACUCGCGGGACCCUGAUCUUGCGCUCCAAGGGCUGCCGGUCCCUCGGACUUCUCAGGAGGAAACUGCGAAAUAGAGUUCUACAAACUCUCAGCCAUGGCAGCAUCUUCGGAAUAAAGAACUGUCCCUGGUGGAACCCUGUUAGCGUCGACAGCUGUUGUGCGAACACCCAAGUUUGGAGGUUUGUUUAAAACUAGCCCCAUUCCUCUCUUCGCCGAAGUGUCCAUGUAGUGUUGGAGUCUGCAGCUUGAAGGGACCACUGUUUGUUAGCGUCCUAAAUCCAGUGGAGGUUUUGGAACCGGGGGUAGGAAAUUUUCACAAGAACCUAAAUUUCACAUCGAUUUGUGAUGGAUUCACAUACCAAAACCGGCUUAAAGUGCACUUAAUGGAUGUGUUACUGCAGAAGGAAUCUGUCUAACCAGAGUAUUUCUAAAUUUAUGAAAUUGACAUGCACUUCAGGUUGCCGAGAAGUCUAAAUUUGUCAAAGUCACAGGACCGGAGGCAGGUCCAUGGCAGAGAUCUGAAGCCAGGUCCACGGAGAUGAAUUUGAGAGCUCGUGCACUGAUCCCCCAGACCCCCCUCGCACCUAGGUGUGGCCCUCCCUAGCAGAGGGAGCUCUGACACCAGCGGCAACCCACGCCUCAUGCUGUCCCCUUGGAAACAACCUCCAAUGUGGGGAUCAGGUAAAGGUGAAUUGAAACCUCAUCCCAGUCUCUGCAAAAGUAACUGAAAAUUAACAGGUUAGGUGAUGACUAAGGCCUUUGGCAUCUCAAAUGAUUUUUCCUGCAGGGGCACUGCGUUCUGAUAGGGGAGACCUGGAAGACCCCCAAUGCUCCAGCCUCGAUGCUUGAUGCUCUCGUGGUGGAAUGACAAAAGGCAAGGUUGCAGCUGUUGAGCUGAGGCCUCUAAUGAGUAGCGCUCAAGGCCUGGCCUUGUCUCCUUCCCUCCUAAAUUGUCUGCUGUCCUCACUUUCAAAUUAUUGGAACGGUUCCCAGAACUGUGACCCCCAUCCCUUAACCCCCUUAAAGUGGACUUCCUGCUGCAGUUCCUCCUGAAUUCACAGCUCUAUGAAAUGCCAGCACUGCAGCUUUCAAGGUCCUGCUACCUCCAGUUGAGAAACGGAGGGCCAGACCACUGGUGGCAGGAGUGGAAUCUGGUCUUCUGAGCUUCAGUAUGUCCUGAGCACCUAGCACAUACGCGGCACGGAGAGUGACCCCAGCUGUGUCCAUCCCUUUUCUCUCUUCUUGCCACACUUUCCUAUCAGGUGUGCCUGCCAUUAACUUGAGUCCAAUGGCACUAGCGCACACUAAUGGGACAGGGCUGGCCUUGGCCCUUUCCCCACGUUGUUUGUUUCCUGAGCCUUCGUCUCCUCACCUGAAAAACAGGGAUCAAUAAUAUUGGCUCACAAGGCUGUUGUGAGGGUCAAAUGAUGCAGCACGGGGAAAUGGUUAGCUGAGUGCCUGUCAUAUGGUGACUCUGUAGGUCCCAGCCUUAGCAGGGGAUGGAGACCUGAUCAUCUUAGUGGCUCCAGCACUGGCUCCAGCGUGUGGCACAGAGCCAGGUGUUUGGGGACUGUCUGCUGAAUGAAUGAAUGAGUGAAUGAUUGUGAUUUUGGGGAUCAUAGCAGACCUCUGGUUUUCCAGUUUCCGGAUGUCCUUGCUUUGUCUCUACAGGAUCUUUAUUCAAGUAAUACUUGUUCACCAAUUCAAUAAAUCAGUUAAAAAACAGUUAUUAUGUCACUGUUAUGUGCAAAACUACUGUGAAUAAUGUUGAUUACUAAUAAGAGCUCGUAUUUCGGAGCUCUUACUGUGUCCCAAGAGCUGUGCUUUGUAUUUGUCAAACAUUUUGUCAUUGAUCUUUACACCAGCCCACGGAGGGAAUGUAUCAGUCAGCUACCGCCACAAUGAUGCUGUGUAACAAACUCCGAUUCAGUGGCGUACAACAAGUACUUCUCCCCCUUGCUAUGUGUCUGUGGGCAGCUGGGGCGGCUCUGAGUCCAACUGUAGGUGGGGUGACUU